rnacentral:rRNA from 1 species
UACGUAGGGGCUAGCGUUAUCCGGAUUUACUGGGCGUAAAGGGUGCGUAGGUGGUUUCUUAAGUCAGAGGUGAAAGGCUACGGCUCAACCGUAGUAAGCCUUUGAAACUGGGAAACUUGAGUGCAGGAGAGGAGAGUGGAAUUCCUAGUGUAGCGGUGAAAUGCGUAGAUAUUAGGAGGAACACCAGUUGCGAAGGCGGCUCUCUGGACUGUAACUGACACUGAGGCACGAAAGCGUGGGGAGCAAACAGGAUUAGAUACCACUGUAGUCCCUGA